GGGCCCGCACAAGCGGUGGAGCAUGUGGUUUAAUUCGAUGAUACGCGAGGAACCUUACCAGGGCUUAAAUGUAGUGGGACAGGUCUAGAGAUAGACCCUUCUUCGGACUCAUUACAAGGUGCUGCAUGGUUGUCGUCAGCUCGUGCCGUGAGGUGUCAGGUUAAGUCCUAUAACGAGCGCAACCCCUAUCGUUAGUUGCCAGCGAGUAAUGUCGGGAACUCUAACGAAACUGCCAGUGCAAACUGUGAGGAAGGUGGGGAUGACGUCAAAUCAUCACGGCCCUUACGUCCUGGGCUACACACGUGCUACAAUGGCCGGUACAGAGAGCAGCCACUUCGCAAGAAGGAGCGAAUCCUUAAAACCGGUCUCAGUUCGGAUUGGAGUCUGCAACUCGACUCUAUGAAGCUGGAAUC
rnacentral:rRNA from 1 species